rnacentral:rRNA from 1 species
ACCAUGCAGUCGAGCGGUAGCACAGAGAGCUUGCUCUCGGGUGACGAGCGGCGGACGGGUGAGUAAUGUCUGGGAAACUGCCUGAUGGAGGGGGAUAACUACUGGAAACGGUAGCUAAUACCGCAUAAUGUCGCAAGACCAAAGUGGGGGACCUUCGGGCCUCAUGCCAUCAGAUGUGCCCAGAUGGGAUUAGCUAGUAGGUGGGGUAACGGCUCACCUAGGCGACGAUCCCUAGCUGGUCUGAGAGGAUGACCAGCCACACUGGAACUGAGACACGGUCCAGACUCCUACGGGAGGCAGCAGUGGGGAAUAUUGCACAAUGGGCGCAAGCCUGAUGCAGCCAUGCCGCGUGUGUGAAGAAGGCCUUCGGGUUGUAAAGCACUUUCAGCGGGGAGGAAGGCGUUAAGGUUAAUAACCUUGGCGAUUGACGUUACCCGCAGAAGAAGCACCGGCUAACUCCGUGCCAGCAGCCGCGGUAAUACGGAGGGUGCAAGCGUUAAUCGGAAUUACUGGGCGUAAAGCGCACGCAGGCGGUCUGUCAAGUCGGAUGUGAAAUCCCCGGGCUCAACCUGGGAACUGCAUUCGAAACUGGCAGGCUAGAGUCUUGUAGAGGGGGGUAGAAUUCCAGGUGUAGCGGUGAAAUGCGUAGAGAUCUGGAGGAAUACCGGUGGCGAAGGCGGCCCCCUGGACAAAGACUGACGCUCAGGUGCGAAAGCGUGGGGAGCAAACAGGAUUAGAUACCCUGGUAGUCCACGCCGUAAACGAUGUCGAUUUGGAGGUUGUGCCCUUGAGGCGUGGCUUCCGGAGCUAACGCGUUAAAUCGACCGCCUGGGGAGUACGGCCGCAAGGUUAAAACUCAAAUGAAUUGACGGGGGCCCGCACAAGCGGUGGAGCAUGUGGUUUAAUUCGAUGCAACGCGAAGAACCUUACCUGGUCUUGACAUCCACAGAACUUUCCAGAGAUGGAUUGGUGCCUUCGGGAACUGUGAGACAGGUGCUGCAUGGCUGUCGUCAGCUCGUGUUGUGAAAUGUUGGGUUAAGUCCCGCAACGAGCGCAACCCUUAUCCUUUGUUGCCAGCGGUCAGGCCGGGAACUCAAAGGAGACUGCCAGUGAUAAACUGGAGGAAGGUGGGGAUGACGUCAAGUCAUCAUGGCCCUUACGACCAGGGCUACACACGUGCUACAAUGGCAUAUACAAAGAGAAGCGACCUCGCGAGAGCAAGCGGACCUCAUAAAGUAUGUCGUAGUCCGGAUUGGAGUCUGCAACUCGACUCCAUGAAGUCGGAAUCGCUAGUAAUCGUAGAUCAGAAUGCUACGGUGAAUACGUUCCCGGGCCUUGUACACACCGCCCGUCACACCAUGGGAGUGGGUUGCAAAAGAAGUAGGUAGCUUAACCUUCGGGAGGGCGCUA